AUUGAACGCUGGCGGCAUGCCUUACACAUGCAAGUCGAACGGUAACAGGUCUUCGGAUGCUGACGAGUGGCGAACGGGUGAGUAAUACAUGGGAACGUGCCUAGUAGUGGGGGAUAACUACUCGAAAGAGUGGCUAAUACCGCAUGAGAUCUACGGAUGAAAGCAGGGGAUCGCAAGACCUUGUGCUACUAGAGCGGCCGAUGGCAGAUUAGGUAGUUGGUGGGAUAAAAGCUUACCAAGCCGACGAUCUGUAGCUGGUCUGAGAGGACGAUCAGCCACACUGGGACUGAGACACGGCCCAGACUCCUACGGGAGGCAGCAGUGGGGAAUUUUGGACAAUGGGCGCAAGCCUGGUCCAGCAAUGCCGCGUGCAGGAUGAAGGCCUUCGGGUUGUAAACUGCUUUUGUACGGAACGAAAAGCCCUGGGUUAAUACCCUGGGUCAUGACGGUACCGUAAGAAUAAGCACCGGCUAACUACGUGCCAGCCGCCGCGGUAA
rnacentral:rRNA from 1 species